rnacentral:rRNA from 1 species
GAUGAACGCUGGCGGCGUGCCUAAUACAUGCAAGUCGAGCGAACAGACGAGGAGCUUGCUCCUCUGACGUUAGCGGCGGACGGGUGAGUAACACGUGGAUAACCUACCUAUAAGACUGGGAUAACUUCGGGAAACCGGAGCUAAUACCGGAUAAUAUAUUGAACCGCAUGGUUCAAUAGUGAAAGACGGUUUUGCUGUCACUUAUAGAUGGAUCCGCGCUGCAUUAGCUAGUUGGUAAGGUAACGGCUUACCAAGGCAACGAUGCGUAGCCGACCUGAGAGGGUGAUCGGCCACACUGGAACUGGGACGCGGUCCAGACGCCUACGGGAGGGAGCAGUAGGGAAUCUGCCGCAAUGGGCGAAAGCCUGACGGAGCAACGCCGCGUGAGUGAUGAAGGUCUUCGGAUCGGAAAACUCUGUUAUUAGGGAAGAACAAAUGUGUAAGUAACUAUGCACGUCUUGACGGUAACUAAUCAGAAAGCAACGGCUAACUACGUG